AUGCUUUACACAUGCAAGUCGAACGGCAGCACGGGGGCAACCCUGGUGGCGAGUGGCGAACGGGUGAGUAAUACAUCGGAACGUGUCCAGUCGUGGGGGAUAACGUAGCGAAAGUUACGCUAAUACCGCAUACGAUCUACGGAUGAAAGCGGGGGAUCGCAAGACCUCGCGCGAUUGGAGCGGCCGAUGUCAGAUUAGGUUGUUGGUGAGGUAAAGGCUCACCAAGCCGACGACCUGUAGCUGGUCUGAGAGGACGACCAGCCACACUGGGACUGAGACACGGCCCAGACUCCUACGGGAGGCAGCAGUGGGGAAUUUUGGACAAUGGACGAAAGUCUGAUCCAGCCAUUCCGCGUGCAGGACGAAGGCCUUCGGGUUGUAAACUGCUUUUGUACGGAACGAAAAAGUCUUGGCUAAUACCCAGGGUCCAUGACGGUACCGUAAGAAUAAGCACCGGCUAACUACGUGCCAGCAGCCGCGGUAAUACGUAGGGUGCAAGCGUUAAUCGGAAUUACUGGGCGUAAAGCGUGCGCAGGCGGUU
rnacentral:rRNA from 1 species